rnacentral:rRNA from 1 species
UACGUAGGCAGCAAGCGUUGUUCGGAGUUACUGGGCGUAAAGGGUGCGUAGGUGGUGAGGUAAGUCGGAUGUGAAAUCUCCGGGCUCAACCCGGAAACUGCAUUGGAAACUACCUUGCUUGAGGGUUUGAGGGGGGACUGGAAUUCUCGGUGUAGCAGUGAAAUGCGUAGAUAUCGAGAGGAACACCAGUGGCGAAGGCGAGUCCCUGGAAAACACCUGACACUGAGGCACGAAAGCUAGGGGAGCAAACAGG